CAGUAGCUGGGUCACCCCGACGCUUGGCCAGAAGUCUGGAGGCGGCGGACGCAGCACCACCCGAGAACUCGUCCUGCCUUUUCCGUCUGCAAACCUCACCUCCCUGCAGACGGACGGGCGGAGACCUGCCCGUGAGCUGAGAGGAAGCCAUGGAGACAGACUUUGCAGGCUGCCCUCCUGGCUUCCCGGGGCCCCCGGCCCGUCCACAGAACGACCAUCCAGUGGCAUCCCUGAGCCGUCACUGUCUCCAGGACCAACCUGCAGAAAACACCCGGCCGUCGGUCAGGGCGGUGUCCGUGGGCUCGUCUGUGCUCCUCACCAGUGACCCGAGGGUGCUGGUUUACAUCUCAGGACCUGGAGAGCUGUUCUCUUUUAAAGCACUGAUUCUUUUCCUUAUAGGUUAUUAUGAAAUACCGAGUCUAUUUCCCUGUGCUGCACAGUAGGCUCUUGCUGUCCAUCCACUCCCUAUGUAACCG
ensembl:lncRNA